UACGUAGGGUGCGAGCGUUAAUCGGAAUUACUGGGCGUAAAGCGUGCGCAGGCGGCUGUGCAAGACAGGUGUGAAAUCCCCGGGCUCAACCUGGGGACUGCAUUUGUGACUGUACGGCUGGAGUGCGGCAGAGGGGGAUGGAAUUCCGCGUGUAGCAGUGAAAUGCGUAGAUAUGCGGAGGAACACCGAUGGCGAAGGCAAUCCCCUGGGCCUGCACUGACGCUCAUGCACGAGAGCGUGGGGAGCAAACAGG
rnacentral:misc_RNA from 1 species